UACAGAGGUCUCAAGCGUUGUUCGGAUUCAUUGGGCGUAAAGGGUGCGUAGGUGGCGCCAUAAGUCGGGUGUGAAAUCUCGGGGCUUAACUCCGAAACUGCAUUCGAUACUGUGGUGCUUGAGGACUGGAGAGGAGACUGGAAUUCAUGGUGUAGCAGUGAAAUGCGUAGAGAUCAUGAGGAAGACCAGUGGCGAAGGCGGCUGCCUGGCCCAAUACUGACACUCAGGUGCGACAGCGUGGGGAGCAAACAGG
rnacentral:rRNA from 1 species